GAAGAAGAAGAGCAGCCGCAUGGCGGGGAGAUAUAAACAAGAGGAAAUAUUUCAUCUCCUUCACCAACAGUGAGUUCACUUCAGGCUUUGUGAGAGUUUUUCAUCGAGGGACUAACUGCUGCUGCUGCUGGAGGAAUCUUCACCAUGUUUGAACAAACUACCAAUAAUUACAAGGAGGAGAUUGCUCGUCAGCGCAGACUGCUCAAAAUGAUUGGGGAACCUCAAGUGAAGCCACACAGAACAGAGCUCCAACAGCACCAUGACUGUAGGGAGGAGCAGCUCUUCAAAGAGGAAGAGCAGG